AGAAAGCCUUCUUAGAGGUGCCAGGACCUCUAACCACACCCAGCUCCGAUCUAGGACCGUCUUGGGGGAGCUGAUGGAUCAGGGUGUGUAAUUUAGAAUGUGCGGUCAGUAGCACAGAAUCUGGCACACGGGAAGUUCUCAGAGCUCAACAGCCUUCGCCCGGGGCCCUAUAGUGUGAGCUGGAGAGAGCAAAGUCGGGCUUUCCCAUUGUUCUGCCUGAGAGUUGGAUCCCCUGAAGCAGCACUUAGAGGAGUGGUAGGGUUGAAAUAGACCUGGAUAUGUAUGCUUUGUCCCUGAAAGGCCCAUUCCCAUACUAACCCCACGGCUUUUGGCAAGUCCACUGGGUGGCUGAACACCUUUGCAUCAAUCUUGCUUUUCUCUGCACACAGAGCCCAUGUUUCCAAUUCCUGCCUAUAUCUCCUAAGUCUUCUGUGGUAGCAGCUCUACAUCUGCCCCUCUGGCUUCCACUUGCUGAGAGCCCAACCUUACUGGGUUUUUGUUUUGUUUUGUGACAUGCUUGUAACUGCCUGACUGCCAAGAGAGACCCCGAAUCUCUGCACUUCCAAGCCGUGGAAUUCAGAAGAAUAGAGUAGAACGGGGGCGUUCAGGACUACAGGAGGAACAAGUUCCUGAAAUAGCAGCUUAUGUUUAAUGUCUGGAAGGAACUGAGCAUUGGACCUUCAAGGCCUCAGCGCACAGCGGUGGCAUCAGACAUCAGGAGUGCAGGGACUGGGUUGUGUACUUGGAUUAUCCUUGGCUGUGGAAGAAGGAGGAAGGCUCUGUGGAGCAAGAAGAAGAUGGAUGUGUUCUCGGUCGGUUUCACUGUUAUGCAGCCAGGCUUUGAAGAAGACCUCCAUGCUAACGACAUCGUUGUCAAGAGUCUGAAGGACAAUGUCAGCUUCCAGGAGAGCACUCUCUGCAGAAGGAGGAAGGAGAAUGGUGUUUAAGGGGGUUUCUUUGUGUGUGUGUGUGUGUGUGUGUGUGUGUGUGUGUGUGUGUGUGUGUGUGUGUAUGGGCGAGGCUGGGAAGAUGACUGACUGUAAGAACAUUUUCUGCUCUUGCAGAGGACCUGCGUUCAAUCCCUGGCACCUAUGCCAGGUGGCACACAGCGCCUGCAAUUCCAGCUUCUGGAAUCUGAUGCUCUCUCUUCUAAACUCCCAGCACCUGUACUCACACAAUUCAAAAUAAAAAUAAGUCUUUAUAAUUAUUUUAAAAACAGAUUUAUUUUAAUUGGGGCUGGAGAGAUGGCUCAGCUGUUGAGAGCACUGUGCUUAUGGAGGAUCCGGGUUUGAUUCCCAGCACCCACAUGGUGCCUCAAAACUGUCUGUAACUCAAGUCCCAGGGGAUCCAACACCCUCUUUGAACCUCAGCAGGCACCAGA